rnacentral:rRNA from 1 species
AGAGUUUGAUUCUGGCUCAGAACGAACGCUGGCGGCAUGGAUUAGGCAUGCAAGUCGAACGGAUGCAGCAAUGCAUUAGUGGCGAAAGGGGUGAGGAACGCGUGAGUAACCUGCCCCCAAGUUGGGAAUAACAGUUGGAAACGACUGCUAAUACCUGAUGCGAUUGUUUUUUCGGCAUCGAGAAACAAUUAAAGAUUUAUCGCUUGGGGAUGGGCUCGCGUCCCAUUAGGUAGUUGGUGAGGUAACGGCUCACCAAGCCGACGAUGGGUAGCUGGUCUGAGAGGAUGGUCAGCCACACUGGGACUGAGACACUGCCCAGACUCCUACGGGAGGCUGCAGUCGAGAAUCUUCCGCAAUGCGCGAAAGCGUGACGGAGCCAAUGCCGCGUGCCGGAUGAAGGUCUUCGGAUCGUAAACGGCUGUCAGAUGGGACGAAUAAAGUGACGGUACCAUCAAAGGAAGCCACGGCUAACUACGUGCCAGCCGCCGC